rnacentral:tRNA from 1 species
GCCUGGGUGGCUCAGUCGGUUGAGCUUCUGACUUCGGCUCAGGUCACAAUCUCACAGUUCGUGGGUUUGAGCCUCGCUUUGGGCU